rnacentral:rRNA from 1 species
CUGGGCGUAAGCGCGCGCAGGCGGCCGUUUAAGUCUGGGGUGAAAACCCGGGGCUCAACCUCGGGAUGGCCUUGGAUACUGGAUGGCUUGAGCGUCGGAGAGGCAAGGGGAAUUCCAUGUGUAGCGGUGAAAUGCGUAGAGAUAUGGAGGAACACCAGUGGCGAAGGCGCCUUGCUGGCCGAUUGCUGACGCUGAGGCGCGAAAGCGUGGGGAGCAAACAGGAUUAGAUACCCUGGUAGUCCACGCCGUAAACGAUGAGUGCUAGGUGUUGGCGGUUUUGACACCGUCAGUGCCGAAGCUAACGCAUUAAGCACUCCGCCUGGGGAGUACGGUCGCAAGACUGAAACUCAAAGGAAUUGACGGGGGCCCGCACAAGCAGUGGAGCAUGUGGUUUAAUUCGAAGCAACGCGAAGAACCUUACCAAGACUUGACAUCCCGCUGACCGGCUUAGAGAUAGGCCUUCCCUUCGGGGCAGCGGAGACAGGUGGUGCAUGGUUGUCGUCAGCUCGUGUCGUGAGAUGUUGGGUUAAGUCCCGCAACGAGCGCAACCCUUGAGCUGUGUUACCAGCAUUGAGUUGGGGACUCACAGCUGACUGCCGGUGACAAACCGGAGGAAGGUGGGGAUGACGUC